rnacentral:rRNA from 1 species
UGGCGGCAAGCCUUACACAUGCAAGUCGAGCGGUAGCAGAUCUAGCUUGCUAGAUGCUGACGAGCGGCGACGGGUGAGUAACGCGUAGGAACCUGCCCAGUAGUGGGGGAUAGCCCGGGGAAACUCGGAUUAAUACCGCAUACGCUCUACGGAGGAAAGAGGGGGCUUCGGCUCUCGCUAUUGGAUGGGCCUGCGUGAGAUUAGCUAGUUGGUGAGGUAAUGGCUCACCAAGGCGACGAUCUCUAGCUGGUCUGAGAGGAUGAUCAGCCACACUGGGACUGAGACACGGCCCAGACUCCUACGGGAGGCAGCAGUGGGGAAUAUUGCACAAUGGGCGCAAGCCUGAUGCAGCCAUGCCGCGUGUGUGAAGAAGGCUUUCGGGUUGUAAAGCACUUUCAGUGGGGAGGAAGGCCUCGUAGUUAAUAGCUGCGAGGAUUGACGUUACCCACAGAAGAAGCACCGGCUAACUCCGUG